rnacentral:rRNA from 1 species
UGGGGAAUAUUGCACAAUGGGCGCAAGCCUGAUGCAGCCAUGCCGCGUGUAUGAAGAAGGCCUUCGGGUUGUAAAGUACUUUCAGCGGGGAGGAAGGGAGUAAAGUUAAUACCUUUGCUCAUUGACGUUACCCGCAGAAGAAGCACCGGCUAACUCCGUGCCAGCAGCCGCGGUAAUACGGAGGGUGCAAGCGUUAAUCGGAAUUACUGGGCGUAAAGCGCUCGCAGGCGGUUUGUUAAGUCAGAUGUGAAAUCCUCGGGCUCAACCUGGGAACUGCAUCUGAUACUGGCAAGCUUGAGUCUCGUAGAGGGGGGUAGAAUUCCAGGUGUAGCGGUGAAAUGCGUAGAGAUCUGGAGGAAUACCGGUGGCGAAGGCGGCCCCCUGGACGAAGACUGACGCUCAGGUGCGAAAGCGUGGGGAGCAAACAGG